rnacentral:tRNA from 1 species
GCCGCUGUGGCGAAAUGGUAGACGCAGAGCACUCAAAAUGCUCCGAGCCCGCGCUCGUGCCGGUUCGAGUCCGGCCAGCGGCA